UAUGCGGCGAUGAUGGGGAAGAGUAAGUCGGAUGCUCGUCAACAGAGAGGGGAUGUCUAGGCUGAGAGCGUUCCUUGACGAAACCGACUGAAGAGAGCCCCUGAGCCGGUCCCGAAGAAAGGCUUAGGCCAAGUAGGGACAAAACGGUUUAAAAGACCGUGAGGGGCCUCGAAAAGGCAAAAAGGGUGGUACCGCGGGCAAAAGAGCUCGUCCCUGAC
rnacentral:ncRNA from 1 species